rnacentral:tRNA from 1 species
AAGGGUAUAGCUCAGUGGUAGAGUGCAUGCUUAGAAUGCACUGGGUCCUGGGUUCAAUCCCCAGUACCUCCA